rfam:Gossypium hirsutum cultivar TM-1 chromosome 4, whole genome shotgun sequence
AAACCAUGCAUUGGGCAUUUUCUGAUUAACUCCUUGAAUUGCUCCCAUGCUUCAUAUAAUGUUUCUUCCUAAAAUUUUCAAAAGGAUGUAAUAUCAUUCCUUAGCUU